AUUGAACGCUGGCGGCAUGCCUUACACAUGCAAGUCGAACGGCAGCGGACCUUCGGGUGCCGGCGAGUGGCGAACGGGUGAGUAAUAUAUCGGAACGUACCUUUCAGUGGGGGAUAACGUAGCGAAAGUUACGCUAAUACCGCAUAUUCUGUGAGCAGGAAAGCAGGGGAUCGCAAGACCUUGCGCUGAUUGAGCGGCCGAUAUCAGAUUAGCUAGUUGGUGAGGUAAAGGCUCACCAAGGCGACGAUCUGUAGCGGGUCUGAGAGGAUGAUCCGCCACACUGGAACUGAGACACGGUCCAGACUCCUACGGGAGGCAGCAGUGGGGAAUAUUGCGCAAUGGGCGAAAGCCUGACGCAGCCACGCCGCGUGAGCGAUGAAGGCCUCGGUCGUAAGACUCUGUGGGAGGAGAAGAA
rnacentral:rRNA from 1 species